AGUCAAUGGGCAGCACGGACUUCGGUCUAUGGCGAGUGGCGAACGGGUGAGUAAUGUAUCGGAACGUGCCUAGUAGCGGGGAUAACUACGCGAAAGCGUAGCUAAUACCGCAUACGCCCUUCGGGAAAGCGGGGGACCUUCGGGCCUCGCACUAUUAGAGCGGCCGAUAUCGGAUUAGCUAGUUGUGUGGGUAAUGGUCACUGCGACAUCCGUAGUUGGUUUGAGAGGACGACCAGCCACACUGGGACUGAGACACGGCCCAGACUCCUACGGAGGCAGCAGUGGGGAAUUUUGGACAAUGGGGGAAACCGAUCCAGCCAUCCCGCGUGUGCGAUGAAGGCCUUCGGGUUGUAAAGCACUUUGGCAGGAAAGAAACGGUACGGAUAAUACCCCGUGCAACUGACGGUACCUGCAGAAUAAGCACCGCUAACUACAAAGCCAGCAGCCGCGGUAAUACGUAGGGCAAGCGUACAAUCGGAAUUACUGGCGUAAGCGUGCGGCGGUUCUGGAAAGAAAGAUGUGAAAUCCCAGAGCUUAACUUUGGAACUGUAUUUAACUACCGAGCUAGAGGCCAGAGGAGGGAAUUCCGCGUGUAGCAGUGAAAUGCGUAGAUAUGCGGAGGAACACCGAUGGCGAAGGUAGCCUCCUUGGAUAACAUCGAUGCCCGCGCACGAGCGUGGGGAGCAAACAGGAUUAGAUACCCUGGGUAGUCCACGCCCUAAACGACGUCAACUAGCUGUUGGGGCCUUGGCCUUUGGUAGCGCAGUUGCACCGCGUGAAGUUGACCGCCUGGGAGUACGGUCGCAAGAUUAAAACUCAAAGGAAUUGAUUGGGACCGCACAAGCGGUGGAUGAUGUGGAUUAAUUCGAUGCAACGCGAAAAACCUAUCACCCUUGACAUGUCUGAAUCCCAAAGAGAUUUGGGAGUGCUCGCAAGAGAACCGGAACACAGGUGCUGCAUGGCUGUUACCGCUCGUGUCGUGAGAUGUUGGGUUAAGUCCCGGCAAACGAGCGCGCAACCCUUGUCAUUAGUUGCUACGAAAGGGCACUCUAAUGAGACUGCCGGUGACAAACCGGAGGAAGGUGGGGAUGACGCUAAGUCCUCGCGGUCUUUAUGGGUAGGGCUUCACACGUCAUACAAUGGUCGGGACAGAGGUCGCUAACCCGCGAGGGGGAGCCAAUCCCAGAAACCCGAUCGUAGUCCGGAUCGCAGUCUGCAACUCGACUGCGUGAAGUCGGAAUCGCUAGUAAUCGCGGAUCAGCAUGUCGCGGUGAAUACGUUCCGGGUCUUGUACACACCGCCCGUCACACCAUGGGAGUGGGUUUCACCAGAAGUAGUUAGCCUAACCGUAAGGAGGGCGAUUACCACGGUAGAUUCAGACUGGGGUGAAGUCGUAACAAGGUAG
rnacentral:rRNA from 1 species